rnacentral:rRNA from 1 species
AUUGAACGCUGGCGGCAUGCCUUACACAUGCAAGUCGAACGGUAACAGGUCUUCGGAUGCUGACGAGUGGCGCACGGGUGAGUAAUACAUCGGAACGUGCCCGAUCGUGGGGGAUAACGAGGCGAAAGCUUUGCUAAUACCGCAUACGAUCUACGGAUGAAUGCGGGGGAUCUUCGGACCUCGCGCGGACGGAGCGGCCGAUGGCAGAUUAGGUAGUUGGUGGGAUAAAAGCUUACCAAGCCGACGAUCUGUAGCUGGUCUGAGAGGAUGAUCAGCCACACUGGGACUGAGACACGGCCCAGACUCCUACGGGAGGCAGCAGUGGGGAAUUUUGGACAAUGGGCGAAAGCCUGAUCCAGCCAUGCCGCGUGCAGGAUGAAGGCCUUCGGGUUGUAAACUGCUUUUGUACGGAACGAAAAGCCUCUUUCUAAUAAAGAGGGGUCAUGACGGUACCGUAAGAAUAAGCACCGGCUAACUACGUG